CCCCCCCCUCCAGCUCCAGAUCCGACACCGGCUUGUCUUGUACGCUGGAACGUUGGUGCCCGACCGCCUCACACCCGCCGACCUGUUGAUCUCCAGUUCCGCUCGCAUCACGAUCCCGCUCUUCUCUGUCUGCCCUCCCUCUCUUCGCGGUGAACCACCGCGUGACCGGCGAACUACCGCGUCCCCCUCCAGCUCCAGAUCCGACACCGGCUUGUCUUGUACGCUGGAACGUUGGUGCCCGACCGUCUCACACCCGCCAGCCUGUUGAUCUCCAGUUCCGCUCGCAUCAAGAUCCCGCCAGUGCUUUGGUUCAGGUAAAAGUCACAGGGGAAUACAGUGAUUUUGGUGGGAAGGAAUCAGUCACAUAUUAGAUUGUUUUCCAUUAAAGUAACAAACGCAGUUUGAUAUACUCCUUCUCGGUCUCAUUGGCCAUGUAUUGAUGCAAAAUGCUUAGAGGCCUGGCAUAAUUGCCUUCUUCACGGGCAAAAAAUCACCUGGCUGUUCUUGAGGGAGGAGAAGACAGGGAAAAGCCUCUGUUUUUAUUUUUUGGUAGUCCAUUGUGAAAAGUCUCCUUCCCCCUGUUUCCUGGGAGAUUAUUGAAAACUAUGCAAACUGCUGGGAGAUUGACUUGAAUCACUUCCUCCUUUUCUUGAAUACCAAUUUGUUGAUUCUCAUUUUUUCUCCCUUUGUAAUAUAACUAGCAUAGUCAUUCCAGAGGACAUUUUCUGUCGAUUCUUUAUGCAUGUGAACUGCUUUUGCCAUGUUUUACUGCAAAAUAACAGAUACUACAGGGAGAAUACUUUCUUGGUAUCUUAAAUUGAACCUGCCUUUUUCUUAUUCUUCUAUGUGCAGAACGUUGCCCGAUUUGUUUAGCAGUAGUGUUUCCUAUCACACUCUGAAUAUGUAAAUUCCAUCGGGCUAGUGACUUCCUGAACUCUUUUAUCUGUACAUCUUGUUUCUCAUAUUCCGCUUCCUUAAUACUUUUAGAAACCAGGGCCUUCUUGAUGCAUGGACAUCUUUAAUGAUCAUUUGUGUCCCCUUUAAUGCAGCUGUUUACAUGUAGGCUAAACAUUUUUCUUAGCAUUCAUAGCUCAGUUGGAAAUGAUAAUGACUCGGUGGCGUUGAAACUGAUGUAAAGU
rnacentral:lncRNA from 1 species